UACAGAGGUCCCGAGCGUUGUUCGGAUUCACUGGGCGUAAAGGGUGCGUAGGUGGCCUAAAAAGUUUGAUGUGAAAGCUCAGGGCUUAACCCUGAAAUGGCAUUGAAUACUGUUGGGCUGGAGGUUUGGAGGGGGGACUGGAAUUCUUGGUGUAGCAGUGAAAUGCGUAGAUAUCAAGAGGAACACCAGUGGCGAAGGCGAGUCCCUGGACAACACCUGACACUGAGGCGCGAAGGCCAGGGGAGCGAAACGGG
rnacentral:rRNA from 1 species